rnacentral:lncRNA from 1 species
GGCGGGGCGGCGCGGGCCCGGCUGCGGGCGCUGGGGGAGCGGCCUCUGCGCGAGUGUGGAGAGAAGGGAACAGUCUACCUUACCCAAGUCGCACAGUCGGUAAGUGGAGCCAGGGCUGGGUGCUGCUGUCUGCCUCCCAAGCCUGCCCCCUUUAAUUGCCACCUCGUGAAGCAUGCUGGGCAGAAGAGGAAAAGGCUCCAUGGAAGGACUGGAAGAAGCGGUUACCCCUGCCUGUGGGCUGGACAUCAGGGAAGGCUUCUCAGAGGAAGGACCUUUUGUGUUGGAUCUCAGGUAGAGGUUUGCCAGGGGAAGAAAGAUGAGCCUGGAAAGGUGUGCUGAGCAGAAGGAUCAGCAUGUGGACUCAGGAUGAUGACAGGAGUGUUCCUGCUACGUGUAUGAAUAAAAUGAAGUAUGCAAAUUAUUUGAAAAUCCCGGGAGGAAGAUACUUUUCAAAUACAGUUGGUUUUGUGGUGUUUUUUUUUAACCAAUAAAGUUAACUAUUUUUACAGCAAAAAAAAAAGCUUACCUAGGAUGUGGAACAUAUAUGCUAAUUCAAGCCUAUUGAGUACUAAAACAAAGAACGAUUUGGCCCUUCCUCUCUAUAAAGGAACUCAAAAAUCUUGUUGGGGGUUGGAUCUCAGAAUGAGAAACUCUGACCCCAGCUGUUCAUAAAUAAAUCCUUUUUCCUUCCUAAAAUUAUUCCUGAGUUUUGGCCUUUCUAACGCAAAAAAUCGAAUCUCUCUUGACUUCUACAACAGUGCGAUAGGCAAUUGCGCAUUGUCAUGGAGAAGAAUUGGACCCGUU